AUUGAACGCUGGCGGCAUGCCUAACACAUGCAAGUCGAGCGAGCGGCGGACGGGUGAGUAAUGUAUCGGGACUGCCCACUAGAGGGGGAUAACUACUGGAAACGGUGGCUAAUACCGCAUACUAUCGGAUAACCCAUAUUGGAUUAGCUAGUUGGUGGGGUAAAGGCUCACAUAGACGACGCUCGCUUGCUGGUCUGAGAGGAUGAUCAGCAACAGUGGGACUGGGACACGGCCCAGAAUCCUAAGGAGGCAGCAGUGGGGAAUAUUGGACAAGGGGGGCAAGCCUAAUGCAGCCAUGCCGCGUGUAUGAGGAAGGCCUUAGGGUUGUAAAGUACUUUCAGCGGGGAGGCGUUACCUGCAGAAGAAGCACCGGCUAACUCCGUGCCAGCAGCCGCGGUAAUUC
rnacentral:rRNA from 1 species